GACGAACGCUGGCGGCGUGCCUAAUACAUGCAAGUUGAGCGCUGAAGGUUGGUACUUGUACCAACUGGAUGAGCAGCGAACGGGUGAGUAACGCGUGGGUAAUCUGCCUUUGAGCGGGGGACAACAUUUGGAAACGAAUGCUAAUACCGCAUAAAAACUUUAAACACAAGUUUUAAGUUUGAAAGAUGCAAUUGCAUCACUCAAAGAUGAUCCCGCGUUGUAUUAGCUAGUUGGUGAGGUAAAGGCUCACCAAGGCGAUGAUACAUAGCCGACCUGAGAGGGUGAUCGGCCACAUUGGGACUGAGACACGGCCCAAACGCCUACGGGAGGCAGCAGGAGGGAAUCUUCGGCAAUGGACGAAAGGCUGACCGAGCAACGCCGCGGGAGUGAAGAAGGGUUUCGGAUCGUAAAACUCUGUUGGUAGAGAAGAACGUUGGUGAGAGUGGAAAGCUCAUCAAGUGACGGUAACUACCCAGAAAGGGACGGCUAACUACGUG
rnacentral:rRNA from 1 species